rnacentral:rRNA from 1 species
AGCUCCACAAGCGUAUACAAAUGUUGCUGCGUUUAAAAAGCUCGUAGUUGGAUCUGUCGAUGUUGUUGCGCUUAAAGGCCUAGUCCCUUGCGGUUGUGCCUGCAACAUUCAUCUUCUUCCCGUAUGUGGCGUUUGCACUUAACUGUGUCGAAUGCUUGGUACGGGCGAUAAAUUUGAGCAAAUUAGAGUGUUCAAAGCGACCUUUGGGAAAGCAUAGUAAAGCAUGUGAUUAAAGAGGAAGACCCACAGUUCUGUUUUUGUGGUUGGAAUUGAUGGUAAUGAUUGAAAGGAACAGUCGGGGGCAUUUGUAUUGCUACGUUAGAGGUGAAAUUCUUGGAUCGUAGCAAGACAAACUACAGCGAAAGCAUCUGCCAAGAAUGUUUUCAUUAAUCAAGAACGA